rnacentral:rRNA from 1 species
GAUGAACGCUAGCGGCAGGCUUAACACAUGCAAGUCGAGGGGUAGAGUAGCAAUACUUGAGACCGGCGCACGGGUGCGUAACGCGUAUGCAAUCUACCUUUUACAGAGGGAUAGCCCAGGGAAAUUUGGAUUAAUACCUCAUAGUAUAGCUGUGCCGCAUGGUACUACUAUUAAAGUCACAACGGUAAAAGAUGAGCAUGCGUCCCAUUAGCUAGUUGGUAAGGUAACGGCUUACCAAGGCUACGAUGGGUAGGGGUCCUGAGAGGGAGAUCCCCCCACACUGGUACUGAGACACGGACCAGACUCCUACGGGAGGCAGCAGUGAGGAAUAUUGGACAAUGGGCGCAAGCCUGACCCAGCCAUGCCGCGUGCAGGAUGACGGUCCUAUGGAUUGUAAACUGCUUUUUGCACAGGGAAGAAACAACGCUACGUGUAGCGUCUUGACGGUACUGUGAGAAUAAAGGGAUCGGGCUAAAACUCCGUGCCAGCCGCCGCC